rnacentral:rRNA from 1 species
CAGCAGCCACGGUAAUACGAAGGGUGCAAGCGUUACUCGGAAUCACUGGGCGUAAAGGACGCGUAGGCGGAUUAUCAAGUCUCUUGUGAAAUCUAACGGCUUAACCGUUAAACUGCUUGGGAAACUGAUAAUCUAGAGUAAGGGAGAGGCAGAUGGAAUUCUUGGUGUAGGGGUAAAAUCCGUAGAGAUCAAGAAGAAUACCCAUUGCGAAAGCGAUCUGCUGGAACUUAACUGACGCUAAUGCGUGAAAGCGUGGGGAGCAAACAGGAUUAGAUACCCCCGUAGUCCCUGUCUCUUAUAC